rnacentral:rRNA from 1 species
GACGAACGCUGGCGGCGUGCUUAACACAUGCAAGUGGAGCGACGAACCGGGGCUUGCCCCGGGGCAGAGCCGCGAACGGGUGAGUAACACGUGGGUUACCUGCCCUGAUGACCGGGACAACCCGUCGAAAGACGGGCUAAUACCGGAUGUGCCCGCAAGGGGAAAGGAGGCGUAAGCUUCCGCAUCGGGAUGGGCCCGCGGAGCAUUAGCUUUGUUGGUGAGGUAAAAGCUCACCAAGGCUU